rnacentral:tRNA from 1 species
GGCCUCAUCGUCUAAAGGUUAGGAUAUAGCCCUUUCAAGGCUGGGAUACGGGUUCAAUUCCCGUUGAGGCUACCA